UACGGGGGGGGCAAGCGUUGUUCGGAAUUACUGGGCGUAAAGGGCGCGUAGGCGGCCUGCUAAGUCGGAUGUGAAAGCCCAAGGCUCAACCUUGGAAGUGCAUUCGAAACUGGCGAGCUUGAAUAUGGACGAGGGUCGCGGAAUUCCCGGUGUAGAGGUGAAAUUCGUAGAUAUCGGGAGGAACACCGGUGGCGAAGGCGGUUCUCUGGGCAUGAUCUGACGCUGAGGAGCGAAAGUGUGGGGAGCGAACAGG
rnacentral:rRNA from 1 species